rnacentral:rRNA from 1 species
AACUUUCAACAACGGAUCUCUUGGCUCUCGCAUCGAUGAAGAACGCAGCGAAAUGCGAUAACUAAUGUGAAUUGCAGAAUUCAGUGAAUCAUCGAGUCUUUGAACGCACCUUGCGCCCUUUGGUAUUCCAAAGGGCAUGCCUGUUUGAGUGUCAU